GGCAGAAACUGAAGAAGAGACCACAGAGGAAGGCUCUGUGUGUACUGGCUUGUUCCUCAUGGCUUGCUCAGCCGCCCUUCUUAUACAGGCCAAGCCCACUUGUCUAAGAGUGGCACCACCCACAAUGGUCUGGGCCCUCCUCCAUCAGUCAAUAAUCAUGAAAAAUGUCCCCCAAACACGAUGACAUGCCAAUCUGAUGGAGGCAAUCUCUCAGUUGAGAUUCCCAGAAUGGCUAGGCCUGUGCAAGUUGACAGAAACUAACAACUAUUGCAUCUUUGAGUUUGUGAGCCAACACAGUGCCCUGUGGCUCAGAGUCCUUACUGACCCUAGAGAGGAUUACACCGAGGCUACCUAAGGUCACACCACUUCUCGACUUAAGAUGACUGCAAGGAACCCACACAGCACAGACAGUAAGCAAGCCCCAAGGCUCAGAAGAGCCCCUGCGUCCAGCUGCCACGCUAAACCCACCAUCUGCCUAAUAGCAGGUAAAAAGGAUAACAAAGUACAUCUGAGAAAGAAGGCUUUUCUUCAACAAAGGCAGCCCCCACACGUGCUGCCAGAAGUUCCAUUAGGGCUGUCAACUUACUUCAUCCUUGCCUGAUCUUCACCCUCACCGAGGAACAUCUUCUCUAAAAAUGACCCAUAUUUUUGGAAGCAUGAACUCCCAUUCUUUCUGUGGCUUAGACUUAAGAAAAAAAUGACGCUGAUUCCCGUUUCAUGUUUGCAAUAAAUUAA